rnacentral:rRNA from 1 species
CACGUAGGGCGCAAGCGUUGUCCGGAAUUAUUGGGCGUAAAGAGCUCGUAGGCGGUCUGUUGCGUCCGCUGUGAAAACUCGGGGCUUAACCCCGAGCCUGCAGUGGAUACGGGCAGACUAGAGGUAGGUAGGGGAGAAUGGAAUUCCCGGUGUAGCGGUGAAAUGCGCAGAUAUCGGGAGGAACACCGGUGGCGAAGGCAGGUCUCUGGGCCGAUACUGACGCUGAGAAGCGAAAGCAUGGGGAGCGAACAGG